GUUUUUUUUUUUUUUUUUUGGUUUUGUUUUGUUUUAAGGGGGAGAGAGAGAGAGAGAGAGAGAGAGAGAGAGAUGAAAAGGGUGUGUGUUGUAAGGUAAGAGAUGGCUCUCUCUUUUUCCUUUUGCAGAUGUGGGGCAGAGAGAGAGAGGGAGGUUAGAGAACGGCAAUGGGGUUUACUGCACUUUCUAUAUCGUGUGUGUGAGUGUGUGUGGGAGGGAUUGAUAGAGAGGUGUGGAGAGAGAUUAGUAGAGAAACAUCAAUGGGGCUUUCUGGAGCAUUUUAUCCUGCUGGUGUUGCAGAGCGAGAGAGAGAGAGAG